UGCAAGAAGCCUCAGAAUUCAAGA
rnacentral:piRNA from 1 species